rfam:Spinacia oleracea cultivar SynViroflay scaffold9118.con0006.1, whole genome shotgun sequence.
GUCAGGAUGGCCGAGUGGUCUAAGGCGCCAGACUCAAGUUCUGGUCUUCGUAAGAGGGCGUGGGUUCAAAUCCCACUUCUGACA